GGAAUAUUGGACAAUGGGCGAAAGCCUGAUCCAGCCAUGCCGCGUGUGUGAAGAAGGCUUUCGGGUUGUAAAGCACUUUCAGUGAGGAAGAAGGCCUUGGGGCUAAUACCCCCGAGGAAGGACAUCACUCACAGAAGAAGCACCGGCUAACUCCGUG
rnacentral:rRNA from 1 species